GGCCUCACCUCUCCCUCCUUUGACUCUAACCCGUCUUACACCGUUAGUCUGGUCUGUGUUACCUUCACCUUGAGCUGCCUUCGUCCUUUACUGCUGUCCUCUCACCGUCCCGCCAACCGUUUCCUCUCAACACACUCUUCUUCAUCCCCCACCGACUGCCCGGAUCUGCUUUCUUCAUUCCAAGCACUUUCAUCUUUCAGCUUUUGAAUGACAGCAUUUAAAGUGAUAUCAGAGAGGAAGGAAACUUCAUUUUUUUAUUUGUAGAUCUGCUGUAAAAGGCACGAUAGAACCACCUGAAGACAGUGAAGAAGAGGUGGAUUCUGCAAUGGACCAGAUAGAGAAGAACUGCAACAAAUCAGUUGUCUCAACUUUAAAGACAUUUCCUGACAUGUUUCUCUUAAUCUGCUGCCCUGCCUGUUUUAGCUCUCUCUUUACUGCUUUCUGCAAAUUUGCUGACUCGGGUGUCUCCUCAUUCUGAUUGACUGAACACACCUGAUCCAGGUAAUCACUAGUAAGAGGUGCACACAGAGCUGGAAAACAGGCAGGGUGGUAGAUUUAAAGGACCAGGAUUGAGCAGCCGUGUCUUAACGAUAGAGAAAAUCCACAUGUGGUUUAGUAUUAUUUUUAAAGAAACAGGCUUAGUCUCCAUCUACUAAAGUUUAGACUCUUACAGAUGCAACAUUCACAGUUGGCAGAGUCAUGGCAUGUUAGCGCCGUUUGUCUUCACAUCAACAACUGGACAGAAUGGUUUCAGUCCCGUUCCCUGCAUUGCCCUGGAAGCAGCUGCUUUGUUUAAGCUGCAUCCUCGCCGCCGCCGCCGAGGAGACCGACUGCGACUGUGGCUGGCAUUCAUCUCAAAGAGGAAGAAAGGCGGCGCGCACAUCAAAAAGGAGGCUGACAAACAAGUGGAAUCAGACAGUAACAGGCUUGUGGCUUCCUCAUCAGUGGCAUCUCCUCAUGCAAGAUUUGACUCAUGCUUGAUGGAUCAGAACCAGCUGCGACGGGAUUCUGCUGCUGCGGCGGUUCUGUGGCCAGCAGAGGGCAGAGCAACUCUAAAACAUGAACUGCCGCUUUGUGAGUUUGUUGGAGCUGUCAUACUUUCUAGGAGAUCCUCUCAUUAACAGUUGACUUUCCCUGUAAUCAAUGUGAAUCCAUAAAUCACGGACAUUAAGUUCGGGGUUUCACAUCCUUGGAAAUUUGUCACCUUUCCAUCGAGAAAGACCCUAACGUCUGAGUCCUCGCUGAAACUUCAGCCUUUUGAGUGGGACCAAAUUUCAAACCAUAAAAUGGAGAUAAUUGGAUUGAAAAGGUCAGAAACCAACGAGAAGCUGCAGGACUGGCGAGAAUUUUAGGAUCCAUCAGGGAGGAUUAAAUCCAUUUCAUUAAAAAGAGAAAAUUAUGAAACUCAAACCGUUUUAGUCGAUCAGCUUGAGGUUAUGUGAAGCAUCCAGGGCUAAGUGAGGACAAAACAGCCUGAUAUUAACUAGAACAAUGGCACUCUAGAAGUUUCUCCUACAGAAUAAAAUUCCUGCUGUUGGUCUGUUUCCAAUCUCAUUCCAAAUAAAAUGGAUUUCUUGU